GUGAACGCUGGCGGUAGGCCUAACACAUGCCAGUCGAACGGCAGCACAGUAAGAGCUUGCUCUUACGGGUGGCGAGUGGCGGACGGGUGAGGAAUACAUCGGAAUCUACUUUUUCGUGGGGGAUAACGUAGGGAAACUUACGCUAAUACCGCAUACGACCUACGGGUGAAAGCAGGGGAUCUUCGGACCUUGCGCGAUUGAAUGAGCCGAUGUCGGAUUAGCUAGUUAGCGGGGUAAAGGCCCACCAAGGCGACGAUCCGUAGCUGGUCUGAGAGGAUGAUCAGCCACACUGGAACUGAGACACGGUCCAGACUCCUACGGGAGGCAGCAGUGGGGAAUAUUGGACAAUGGGCGCAAGCCUGAUCCAGCCAUACCGCGUGGGUGAAGAAGGCCUUCGGGUUGUAAAGCCCUUUUGUUGGGAAAGAAAAGCAGCAGGUUAAUACCCCGCUGUUCUGACGGUACCCAAAGAAUAAGCACCGGCUAACUUCGUG
rnacentral:rRNA from 1 species